rnacentral:rRNA from 1 species
CCUACGGGGGGCAGCAGUGGGGAAUAUUGCACAAUGGGGGAAACCCUGAUGCAGCGACGCCGCGUGAGUGAAGAAGUAUUUCGGUACGUAAAGCUCUAUCAGCAGGGAAGAAAAUGACGGUACCUGACUAAGAAGACCCGGCUAACUACGUGCCAGCAGCCGCGGUAAUACGUAGGGGGCAAGCGUUAUCCGGAUUUACUGGGUGUAAAGGGAGCGUAGACGGCAGCGCAAGUCUGGAGUGAAAUCCCAUGGCUUAACCAUGGAACUGCUUUGGAAACUGUGCAGCUAGAGUGCAGGAGAGGUAAGCGGAAUUCCUAGUGUAGCGGUGAAAUGCGUAGAUAUUAGGAGGAACACCAGUGGCGAAGGCGGCUUACUGGACUGUAACUGACGUUGAGGCUCGAAAGCGUGGGGAGCAAACAGGAUUAGAUACCCCAGUAGUC